rnacentral:rRNA from 1 species
GUGUCAGCAGCCGCGGUAAUACGUAGGGUGCAAGCGUUGUCCGGAAUUAUUGGGCGUAAAGAGCUCGUAGGCGGUCUGUCGCAUCGAAUGUGAAAACACGAGGCUCAACUUCGUGCCUGCAUUCGAUACGGGCAGACUAGAGUUCGGUAGGGGAGUCUGGAAUUCCUGGUGUAGCGGUGAAAUGCGCAGAUAUCAGGAGGAACACCGGUGGCGAAGGCGGGACUCUGGGCCGAUACUGACGCUGAGGAGCGAAAGCGUGGGGAGCAAACAGGAUUAGAUACCCUUGUAGUCC